AUUCUUCUAUGCUUGGAUCAUUAGUGAUAUGGUAUGACAGUGUUACACUUGAUGGUAAAUUGAAUUGGCAAGAUCAAGUAAAUGAACAUAAUAAGCCGUUCUUUGAUAUAUGUGAUGGAAUAUUUGUGAACUAUACAUGGAAGGAAGACUAUCCAAGGCUCUCUACUGC